rnacentral:rRNA from 1 species
UACGGAGGGUGCAAGCGUUAUCCGGAAUCACUGGGCGUAAAGCGCACGUAGGCGGAUGUGUCAGUCAGGGGUGAAAUCCCGGAGCUCAACUUCGGAACUGCCUUUGAUACAGCACGUCUUGAGUCCGAUAGAGGUGGGUGGAAUUCCUAGUGUAGAGGUGAAAUUCGUAGAUAUUAGGAAGAACACCGGUGGCGAAGGCGGCCCACUGGAUCGGUAC